CCUACGGGAGGCAGCAGUGGGGAAUAUUGCACAAUGGGGGAAACCCUGAUGCAGCGACGCCGCGUGAGUGAAGAAGUAUCUCGGUACGUAAAGCUCUAUCAGCAGGGAAGAAAAUGACGGUACCUGACUAAGAAGCACCGGCUAACUACGUGCCAGCAGCCGCGGUAAUACGUAGGGGGCAAGCGUUAUCCGGAUUGACUGGGUGGAAGGGGGGCGCAGACGGCAAUGCAAGCCAGGAGUGAAAGCCCGGGGCCCAACCCCGGGACUGCUCGUGACACUGCAUGGCUGGAGUACAGGAGGGGCAGGCGGAAUGCCUAGUGUAGCGGUGAAAUGCGUAGAUAUUAGGAGGAACACCGGUGGCGAAGGCGGCCUGCUGGACUGUGACUGACGUUGAGGCCCGAAGGCGUGGGGAGCAAACAGGAUUAGAUACCCGGGUAGUC
rnacentral:rRNA from 1 species